rnacentral:lncRNA from 1 species
CUCUUUAUCUCUCAGUGUUUCUUAUUGGGAAUCUUGUGAAGUGUGUUCAGCUCGUGAACUGUGUUUACUGAUAGAAACUAGCCGCGCUGCCCGCGGGCUCGCCGAGUUGCGUAAUCCAUGGAAACGAACAACGGGAACGGGUCAAACUGGGCGAUCCAGCGGCGAGUGGAGGGACUGGUGAACAAACACAUGGCAGACAUGGCACUGGAGACGCUCCAGCAGCGGCUUUCCGCUGUCUCUGAAGAGAUCAACCAUCUGACUGAUGACAGAUCCCGGAGAGAAGACGCUCCUAAAGCGGCGGAAGAAGCGCCGCGGCGGACUGAGACCAACUUCAGAUCAGAGUCCUCCUACCCCCCCGCAGCAGCAGCAGCAGCAGGAGCGAGAGCGGGGGAAAAGUUAAUGCUGAACACACCAUCAUCAUCUUCACUGUCCUCUUCAUCAUCCUCAUCAUCAUCACCAGCAGCAGCAGCCCAAUCAUCAGAAACUGCAGCCCAAAGAAAGAUUAUAUCGCUCCUACUGGAGAUUAAAGAAGAGCAGCAGAGGCAGUGGGCUGUGUUGAAAGACUUGCAGGCCAGAGUUCAAGGACAGGUGUGGGAAGAAGAGGUUGAAGCACUCGAUGUAGAUCUUCCAGUACGGACUAUGGAACAGCUUGAUGAGAUGGAAAAGCAUCUGGAGGACACUGGAGCACAACAGAAAAUGGUGUCCCACCUCUCCCGAAUGGGUGGAGCAACCGUGGAUGAUGCGGUGAGGCGCUUGAUGCAGGCAGUUUUGUCUUUUGCCGUAGGUUCCGAGUUAAACUGGGUUGGCAGGGGACAAAAAAGGAGCUUCAGAAACACCAGACUGCAAGGGGUAUUGUUCCGUAAGUAAUACUGAACCUAUUUUUUCCCCCUCAUGCAGUUAUUGAGCAGCCACUUUGAAUCUUUAUGAUACUAAUACAGUCAUUGGUUCUGUUCACAUUAUGUUCAUUUAUGUUUUACAGGUGCUUUAAAGAGAACCCCUGUAGGAAAGGAGGCCACACACCAUCAGUUUGCAGAUGUUGUAAAGAAAUGGCUACGAUUUGCACCAUACAGACAAGGCGGCAGUGGCCGGAGACAGCAUUACAAGCCUCCUGUUGAGUUCAUGUGCACCAAGUAUCCUGAUACAGAGGGGUGAUUGCAUCACAAUCACCGCAUUUAACCUUAUAUUUCAACACGGUUACAUUUAAAAUCAUUAAAAUCUGUCCAUUCUGUUUGUGCGUUUCAAAAUGUUUUUUUUUAUUUUUUAUGAUGCAGUGUGUCUAAUAUUUUGGAUAAUUGUUUCUGGCUAUGACUGUAAUCAAUAGCAUAAAUCAUGCAUAUGGUUGAGGUACAUUUCAGUAUGUCAGAGUUCAUGAACAGGAGUGUCCUCUAGAGCAGGGGUCAGCAAUUAAGUUUGUUGGCCGCGGGCCAGAUAUUUUCCAAGCCAUUACGUGGCGGGCCACAAAAAAAAAAAUCUGUUUUGGAAAAUGAAGUGUAAUGGGAUGGAGUGCUACAGACUAGUAGCUCUCCAGCCCAGAGGGUUGUUAAACCCAACUGCAGAACAGUUGAUCUCAAAGCAGGUAAACCCAAGAAGAAAGGAAAAAAUAAAUAAAUAAACACACAGCUUCUCA